rnacentral:siRNA from 1 species
UAUAUGAAGCGGUUCAGUGCG